AGAAGCACAAGGGAGGAAGCGGGGGAGGUGGGACUGAGGUGGGAGAAACGGCGAUCCACGAGGCACUGGUGAGCCGGUGACCACUGUGGGCGAGUCACCCUGGGAUGUUCUUAGAGACCGCGUAGGGCGCGCUCAGGACCGUCCCAUCAGAGAGCAUCCCAUCAGAGAGCAGGGGCACCCUAGCGUUAAGCCGCUGCUUUCCGUUUCCUGUUGGCGAAGGUUGUCUGAGUCUAUCAGCUCUCUCUCACUUCAAGCUUGAGAGGAGGGUCCUGGGCGCCAGCGGAAGCCUUCAGGCAGAGAACAAGAGAAGCAGGUGGCUGAGCUGGGAACAGCCUGGCACCGCCGUAGCCGAACUCAGGUGGGCGCGGCGUCAGCAGCUUCUGCUACACUCGGGAUGAACACGAGGCGGGGCCCCCAGCGGCUUACAAUCCCCGGUAGGAUAACCAUUCCAGAGAACGCCUCCUUCUCAGGAAUUUCAGGCUCAGCCUUCUGAUUGGCCAGGCUCGUGUCACAUGACCACCCGUGAGCCAAUCACUGUGCCUGCGGGAACGGAGUGUCUCGUCACCCUGGAAGGUACGACCCGGCCACGUCGCUGCCUCGCACGUAACAAGAAUUGCGCCGGCGUGCCUCCCUGCAAGAUGGGGGGGCCUCUGACCCCCCCCCCCCCGCCACCGGCUGACGGCUUGGAAGAUGGAGGAAGAUUCUAGAUGGCAGCACUACCCGUGUCCACUGAGGAGACAUCCUGCCCCUACGGAGUGGGUCUCCAGCUUUGCUUCCCCCAGAUGUACACAAUUUGCUACGUGCUGGCAAGGAAAGGUGCGAGCUAACGAAUAUGGAAGCUGAUGGCACAUGAUUUUCCCAGGCACCAAGAGCUUGCGUUUAAAGAGACCAGGCUUGGUGUGCAAGAUACCCGUAUGCCGACUAGUGGGGUGCUGUCCCGGUUGGGGCCGUGGCCCGGAAUAGGUGUUGGGCGCACACGCUGAGACGGGAAAUGUUUUCGGAGCCAGAGUCCACAUGUGGAAGGACCACCGGGAGCCUCUGCGGCCGCCAGGGUAAGUGACCUGCCGAAGGUCACACAGCCAAGGAAGACGAGCCGGGGUUUUGCAUCUAAGUCUGUCGAACUGCAAAGCCUGUUUUCCUGGUCAUGGUACCUCACUGCCGCUGAAUCAAGUUUGGGGGACAUCACGGUCUCAUGAGGAUAAGGCAAAUCCAGGCCAGCUUUCGUUUUUCAAGGCCAAAACAGCCAUGCAAAAAUUUGGCAUUUAAAAGGAAUGUUCCCACCUACAUAAGUAAUGCUUUUAAGGUAAAAAGGUACAA